UUAGCGAAGGGACUGUGCUGCCGCCAGAGAUGAUCCAGAAGAUCUCUCCGCCGCGGCCGCCAGAGGACACUGCGUCGAUCGACUCGUCGUCCGGGGGGGCGAGGAGCUCCAUGGCCAGGGGCUCCGUGAGGAAGAGCGAGCAAAGAAAAUCUCUCGUCCCUCCAUCUCAGCGAUCUAACAAGCUCGCUGGAGAUGCGCCGCCCAAAGCCGGAGGCUCCUCCAAGACCACUCGCAGAGCUUCCAUAAAAUAAGUUCUUCCCAGAUCCAAAGCUCGCACAGAUUUCUCAUCUACGCAAAGUCAAAGUUUCUAAAUGACAAAGCAUGCAAAAUGGUUAAACAUGCUGGCCAGGCAUUGACAAAACGGUCAACGCUCUUCCAAAGUA